AGUUUUUUGAAUCCGUUCUGAGAUUUCGUCAGACACCAACCCAUUAGGACUGAUCAGACUUACAAGAUAUGUGAAGUU
rnacentral:pre_miRNA from 1 species